CCUACGGGGGACAGCAGUGAGGAAUAUUGGUCAAUGGGCGCAAGCCUGAACCAGCCAAGUCGCGUGAGGGAUGACGGUCCUAUGGAUUGUAAACCUCUUUUGUCGGGGAGCAAGGCCCGCCACGUGUGGCGGGAAGGAGAGUACCCGAAGAAAAAGCAUCGGCAAACUCCGUGCCAGCAGCCGCGGUAAUACGGAGGAUGCGGGCGUUAUCCGGAUUUAUUGGGUUUAAGGGGUGCGUAGGCGGAAGGUUAAGUCAUUGGUCAAAUGUCGGUGCUCAACACCGGCCUGCCGUUGAAACUGGUCGUCUUGAGUGAGCGAGAAGUAUGCGGAAUGCGUGGUGUAGCGGUGAAAUGCAUAGAUAUCACGCAGAACUCCGAUUGCGAAGGCAGCAUACCGGCGCUCAACUGACGCUGAGGCACGAAAGCGUGGGGAUCGAACAGGAUUAGAUACCCGAGUAGUC
rnacentral:rRNA from 1 species